GUGCGCUCGAGGACAGGUCAUUUAUACCACUGUUUUGCGACACCGUCUUUUAUACUAUGCCAUUCAAUUCCGACUGCAAGCUCGCAAAUCGGUAUUUCGUUCAAGCACCGAAACAAACUGUAGAGUAAGAAGAACGCGCAUGCGCAAGAACACGACGCUCAGAAGGGAAGACAAUUCUCCAGCGGUAUCUAGAAAGUGUUUCUCCCUUGAUUGCCAAGGUAUUUUUCCUUUCCAAAGCCAUCAAGUCAUAAGUGUCAGAGCCCAAUGGUUCAACACAUUUCUUUCGGAUAUGCCCCUAUUUGUGAGCUGGAGGACUCACCAACUGGAGGCCCAACGCAGCCAUGGAAACACUCCACAAAACACCUGUCAGACCUGCCCCUGUUCAAACACCUGCUGCAGGAAUCAGAGUCUACCAUCAGGGCUUUGCCUGAGAUGUUUAGGUUCUGCUCACCAUCACCACGAGAGAGCAACAAGGUUUUGGGGCUGUUAUGGGAACCGGAUUUGGACAGUGAUCCAGUUUUUUAGCGUGGAAAAACAUAGCCGGGUUUCAGAUUGGGCAUUGGCUCCAGCCCCAGUACAAAAGGAAAAUGUUUCAAGAUAUUUUUACUGCUAAUAGGCAUUUCUAGGCAAUAUUGAAGAGGGCUUUAACCGUCGUCUUUCAUCUCAGCUCCCCUAAAAGUCUAUUUACUCUGCUGUCAGCACUUUUAUAAAUCAGUGAUUGUGAUUUUCUUCAUGUUUACUGGGAACAGCAGCUGCAGUAAGCUAUGUGAGGUUAUUUCAAUCAUAUUUCAUCCUUAUCAGAUUUUAAAAACAUCCCCCUAGUUAUUGGCGGACACGGUCAAAGAUGAUGUACGGUGACAAUGCAUAUAUCUGUCACAGAUGUCUCUCGUUCGAGCGCUUGUUGCACUGAAAUCCCAAAAUAAACGCAAUCAAAUCUGCUGUUACUGAAAUACA
ensembl:lncRNA